rnacentral:lncRNA from 12 species
AGAAAUAGAUCCACCAGUUGGUCAUUGCUCAUCCUGUCACUGGGAGAUAGGAUACUGAUGAAUUUUCUGUAUCGGGAAUAUGAUCCUGAAGUGCAAUUCAAAAGAGGGUGAAGGAAUACCAGUGAUCUUGAUACACUGCAGUAAGAGUCUGGAGAAAGAACUGUAUCGACUUCCUAGCUCCACCAUGGCAAGAAUGACCUCAGAGACCUCCUGAGUCCUCUUAGCCCCAUUUCACUGCUUUAGUGACCAGAAUGUGUCUGACCCU